AGGGGAGGCCUGCAGGAAUGCUCCCCCAGAAUUCUCAGCCCCAUGUCAUCUUUUCUUGAACCACAGGGUUUUUCAAAACUCUGGACACAGAUCUGGAUGGAGUCGUGACCUUCGACCUGUUUCAGUGGCUACAGCUGACCAUGUUUGCAUGAGCAGGGGUGAGGCCCCGGGCUGCGUUCCUCUCCCUCGUCAUCUGCCAAGCUCUGCCUUCCCACCACGCCGCGCCCGGCCACGCCAGCUGCAAGUGCCUUCCUCGGAGCGGGCAGUGGCCUCUGUCCCCUCACCUCCCAGCCGCCACGGUCCAUCUGCUCUGGGCAGAGCUGUGUGGCCCCCCUGCUCCUCGGACCAUGGGCUCAGGUGGACGCCCCCAGCCCCUCCCGUCGCCAAGCCAGGAAGGCAGCUUUCGCUUGUUCCUGCCUCGGGGUGGGGCUCCUGGGGGCGCUGACAGCCCUGGCCUCCCAGCAUCUUAAUGUGUCCUCUGCCCUCACUCCAGAGACCAGCCACCUGGCCUUACCUUCGGACUUUAAACCAUAACCACUAGCUCUGCACCGUCUAUAUCAUAGUGUGCAGAGCCCCCUCCCAGCCGGGCCCCCUCCCCAGGGCUGGGAACGCCUGUCCCUUCCUGUGCAGAAGCCAACGCCCCCCUCUGCCCCACGGAGCUGCCUGGCCCAGGGGGUGGUCAGGCCCUCCCUUCUCCCCUCCCUCCCUCCCUCCUUUUUUAUAUCGGUGAAUUUAAAGGGGACUCUGGUACUGGUAUACUACUAUGGGGGUGCCAGAGGCACCUGGGCCUGGGUGUGUGGGGGCUCGUGUUUCCAUGCAGAGAAACCUCAAAUAAUAAAGGAGAAAGGCCCCGU